rnacentral:rRNA from 1 species
UGCCAGCAGCCGCGGUAACACGGGGGGCGCAAGCGUUAAUCGGAAUUACUGGGCGUAAAGCGCUCGUAGGCGGUUUGUUAAGUCGGAUGUGAAAGCCCACGGCUCAACCGUGGAACUGCAUUGGAAACUGACAGACUAGAGCAUAGGAGAGGAGAGCGGAAUUCCUGGUGUAGCGGUGGAAUGCGUAGAUAUCAGGAGGAACAUCGAAGGCGAAGGCAGCUCUCUGGACUAUUGCUGACCCUCAGGAACGAAAGCUAGGGGAGCGAACAGGAUUAGAUA